rnacentral:tRNA from 1 species
GGUCUUAUGUGUAAUGGUUAGCACUCUGGACUCUGAAUCCAGCGAUCCGGCGUUCAAAUCCGCGGUAGGACCU